GACGAACGCUGGCGGCGUGCUUAACACAUGCAAGUCGAACGGAAAGGCCCUGCUUUUGUGGGGUGCUCGAGUGGCGAACGGGUGAGUAACACGUGAGUAACCUGCCCUUGACUUUGGGAUAACUUCAGGAAACUGGGGCUAAUACCGGUUAGGAGCUCCUGCUGCAUGGUGGGGGUUGGAAAGUUUUGGCUGUUGGGGAUGGACUCGCGGCUUAUCAGCUUGUUGGUGGGGUAGUGGCUUACCAAGGCUUUGACGGGUAGCCGGCCUGAGAGGGUGACCGGCCACCUUGGGCCUGCGCUACGGCCCAGACUCCUACGGGAGGCAGCAGUGGGGAAUAUUGCACAGUGGGCGGAAGCCUGAUGCAGCAACGCCGCGUUCGGGAUGACGGCCUUCGGGUUGUAAACCGCUUUCGCCUGUGACGAAGCGUGAGUGACGGUAAUGGGUAAAGAAGCACCGGCUAACUACGUG
rnacentral:rRNA from 1 species